rnacentral:rRNA from 1 species
ACUGUGUAACUUGAAUUACGGAAGGGAAACUGGAAUUCCAAGUGUAGGGGUGGAAUCUGUAGAUAUUUGGAAGAACACCGGUGGCGAAGGCGGGUUUCUGGCCGAUAAUUGACGCUGAGAUGCGAAAGUGUGGGGAUCGAACAGGAUUAGAUACCCUGGUAGUCCACACCGUAAACGCAUGUACACUAGGUGUUGGGGCAAGAGCUUCAGUGCCAAAGCAAACGCGAUAAGUGUACCGCCUGGGGAGUAUGCCCGCAAGGGUGAAACUCAAAGGAAUUGACGGGGGCCCGCACAAGCGGUGGAGCAUGUGGUUUAAUUCGAUGGUACGCGAGGAACCUUACCUGGGUUUGACAUCUAGCGGAAUGCCUUAGAGAUAAG